GUCCACGCCCUAAACGAUGAUCACUCGAUGUGUGCGAUACACUGUACGCGUCUGAGCGAAAGCAUUAAGUGAUCCACCUGGGGAGUACGACCGCAAGGUUUAAACUCAAAGGAAUUGACGGGGGCCCCGCACAAGCGGAGGAGCAUGUGGUUUAAUUCGAUGAUACGCGAGGAACCUUACCAGGGCUUGAAAGUUAGUGAAGUAUGUGGAAACAUGUACGUCAGCAAUGACACGAAACUAGGUGCUGCAUGGCUGUCGU
rnacentral:rRNA from 1 species